rnacentral:tRNA from 1 species
ACCUGGGUGGCUGAGUCGGUUAAGCAUCUGACUUCAGCUCAGGUCAUGAUGUUGAGGUUGGUGGGUUCGAGCCCCAUGUCGGGCU